CUGACUUUGGUCACUCUUGUGAUGUAAAUCCCAAGGGAGUCCCCAUGGAAGGUCAUCAAUAAAACUCAUGUAUCCAAUGUCUUCUGUCUGAACUGUUUAUAACAAAUGUUAAAACUUUCAACAACGGAUCUCUUGGUUCUCGCAUCGAUGAAGAACGCAUCGAAAUGCGAUAAGUAUUGUGAAUUGCAGAAUUCAGUGAAUCAUCGAAUCUUUGAACGCACAUUGCGCCUCCUGGUAUUCCGGGAGGCAUGCCUGUUCAAGCGUCAUUAAAUACCUCUCAAGCACCAUUGCUUGGUCAUGGAAGAUGAGUAUGCUUGCAUUCUCCCUUCUGAAAUUCAAAGGCGGAUCAUCUCAUAUUCCCUGGCGUAGUAAGUGUUUAUCUUUCGCUUGGAGUGUGUGACAGUCUUGCCAUCGACCCCCAUUAUUUCAAGGUUGACCUCGGAUCAGGUAGGGAUACCCGCUGAACUUAAGCAUAUCAAUAAGCGGAGGAAAAGAAACCAACAGGGAUUGCCUUAGUAACUGCGAGUGAAGCGGCAAAAGCUCAAAUUUGAAAUCUGGCGUCUUUGGCGUCCGAAUUGUAAUUUGGAGAGGCAUCUUCGGUGAUGGCGCUGCCCU
rnacentral:rRNA from 1 species